AUACGGAGGGGGCUAGCGUUGUUCGGAUUUACUGGGCGUAAAGGGCGCGUAGGCGGGAAGUCAAGUUAGGGGUGAAAGCCCUGGGCUCAACCCAGGAACUGCGUUUGAUACUGAUUGACUAGAGGCCGGGAGAGGGUAGUGGAAUUCCCAGUGUAGAGGUGAAAUUCGUAGAUAUUGGGAAGAACACCGGUGGCGAAGGCGACUUCCUGGACGGCCACUGACGCUGAGACCCGAAAGCGUGGGGAGCAAACAGGAUUAGAAACCCUAGUAGUCC
rnacentral:rRNA from 1 species